UACGGAGGGGGCGAGCGUUAUUCGGAAUUAUUGGGCGUAAAGGGCGCGUAGGCGGCUGUACAAGUCAAAGGUGAAAUCCCCUCGGCUCAACUGAGGAACUGCCCUUUGAAACUGUACGGCUUGAGGCCGGGAGGGGGUAGCGGAAUUCCCAGUGUAGCGGUGAAAUGCGUAGAUACUGGGAGGAACACCAGUGGCGAAGGCGGCUACCCUGGACCGGUUCUGGACGCUGAGGCGCGAAAGCGUGGGGUAGCAAACAGG
rnacentral:rRNA from 1 species